rnacentral:rRNA from 1 species
CGGGCUUCGGUCCGAUGAGUAGAGUGGCGAACGGGUGAGUAACGCGUGGGCAAUCUACCCUUAAGUGGGGAAUAACCAUUCUAACGAGUGGCUAAUUCCGCAUGUGUCCGUUUUGUCGCAUGGCAAGACGGGUAAAGCUGGGGAUCUUCGGACCUGGCGCUCAAGGAGGAGCCCGCGUCCCAUUAGCUAGUUGGCGAGGUAACGGCUCACCAAGGCGACGAUGGGUAGCCGAUCUGAGAGGAUGACCGGCCACACUGGGACUGAGAUACGGCCCAGACUCCUACGGGAGGCAGCAGUCGAGAGGCUUCGGCAAUGGGGGAAACCCUGACCGAGCGACGCCGCGUGCGGGAUGACGGCCUUCGGGUUGUAAACCGCUGUCAGAAGGGAAGAAUCCUCCCGGGAUAAUACACCGGGAGUUGACGGUACCUUCAGAGGAAGCUCCGGCUAACUCCGUGCCAGCAGCCGCGGUAAUACGGAGGGAGCGAACGUUGUUCGGAUUUACUGGGCGUAAAGGGUGUGUAGGCGGUCUUGCAAGUCAGGGGUGAAAUCUCUCGGCUCAACCGAGAAACUGCCUUUGAGACUGCAGGACUUGAGGGCGUGAGAGGAGACUGGAAUUCCUAGUGUAGCGGUGAAAUGCAUAGAUAUUAGGAGGAACACCAGUGGCGAAGGCGAGUCUCUGGCACGCAUCUGACGCUGAAACACGAAAGCCAGGGGAGCGAACGGGAUUAGAUACCCCGGUAGUCCUGGCUGUAAACGUUGGGCACUAAGUGUUGGCCGAUCGACCCGGCCAGUGCUGCAGC